UUGUGGGCCCCUCGGAGCCGGCAGUCAGGUGCGGGCUUCAAACCACCGCAAGCUGCUGUCGCAAAAUGCGAUGGUGGUGAGCGUUGCAGGAACGUCGGGACGAUGAUCCCGGCAGG
rnacentral:ncRNA from 1 species